rnacentral:rRNA from 1 species
CCCUUAGAUGUUCUGGGCCGCACGCGUGCUACACUGAGUGGAUCAGCGGGUCAGGUUGCGCGAAAGUGUUUCCUAAUCUUGAAAUCCGCUCGUGAUGGGGAUUGACGGUUGCAAUUUUCCGUCAUGAACGAGGAAUACCUUGUAAGCGCGGGUCAUCAUCCCGCGCUGAAUACGUCCCUGCCCUUUGUACACACCGCCCGUCGCUCCUACCGAUUGAGUGGUCCGGUGAGGCUUUGGGAUCUGAGCAAAGAGAGCGUUUCGCUCGUUUUGCCCGGAAAACUCAGUCGAACCUUAUCAUUUAGAGGAAGGAGAAGCCGUAACA